AGAGUUUGAUCCUGGCUCAGGAUGAACGCUGGCGGCAUGCCUAAUACAUGCAAGUCGAACGAAGUCUUUAGGAAGCUUGCUUCCAAAGAGACUUAGUGGCGAACGGGUGAGUAACACGUAGGUAACCUGCCCAUGUGCCCGGGAUAACUGCUGGAAACGGUAGCUAAAACCGGAUAGGUAUGAGGGAGGCAUCUUCCUCAUAUUAAAGCACCUUCGGGUGUGAACAUGGAUGGACCUGCGGCGCAUUAGCUAGUUGGUGAGGUAACGGCCCACCAAGGCGAUGAUGCGUAGCCGACCUGAGAGGGUGAACGGCCACAUUGGGACUGAGACACGGCCCAAACUCCUACGGGAGGCAGCAGUAGGGAAUUUUCGUCAAUGGGGGGAACCCUGAACGAGCAAUGCCGCGUGUGUGAAGAAGGUCUUCGGAUCGUAAAGCACUGUUGUAAGUGAAGAAUGCCACAUAGAGGAAAUGCUAUGUGGGUGACGGUAGCUUACCAGAAAGCCACGGCUAACUACGUGCCAGCAGCCGCGGUAAUACGUAGGUGGCAAGCGUUAUCCGGAAUCAUUGGGCGUAAAGGGUGCGUAGGUGGCACGAUAAGUCUGAAGUAAAAGGCAACAGCUCAACUGUUGUAUGCUUUGGAAACUGUCGAGCUAGAGUGCAGAAGAGGGCGAUGGAAUUCCAUGUGUAGCGGUAAAAUGCGUAGAUAUAUGGAGGAACACCAGUGGCGAAGGCGGUCGCCUGGUCUGUAACUGACACUGAUGCACGAAAGCGUGGGGAGCAAAUAGGAUUAGAUACCCUAGUAGUCCACGCCGUAAACGAUGAGAACUAAGUGUUGGAGAGAUUCAGUGCUGCAGUUAACGCAAUAAGUUCUCCGCCUGGGGAGUAUGCACGCAAGUGUGAAACUCAAAGGAAUUGACGGGGGCCCGCACAAGCGGUGGAGUAUGUGGUUUAAUUCGAAGCAACGCGAAGAACCUUACCAGGUCUUGACAUCCAACUAACGAGGCAGAGAUGCGUUAGGUGCCCUUCGGGGAAAGUUGAGACAGGUGGUGCAUGGUUGUCGUCAGCUCGUGUCGUGAGAUGUUGGGUUAAGU
rnacentral:rRNA from 1 species